UCCCUCGCAGUGCCAAUGCGCAGCAGUGGCUAAUGUCGGCCCAGCUUUAUUAUUUAGAGGAUCAAUCAGGCCUUGGUGCUCGCGUGUAGUUGCCUAGCCACGUGUUGUGGAGGCGUGCGCCGAGUGGUGGUGGUGGUGGCGUGGGUUGCCCGGAGACAGAGUUGCAAUAAACAUUAAGAGGCGUGACGGGAGUGUUCAGAAAGUAUGUCAGUCCAAGGGGAUGCUUUCAGUAGAGAGAAAUAUGACUGUGCCAUAGAGCUGUAAUGAGUGAACAGUGAUCAAGGAGACGUGAUGAGCGUGCACUUACAACCUGUGAAAAGAUAAAGAGGCCUUAAUUCAUCGUGUGGUUGUUCGUAUCUCCUUUCCUUCUCCCCCCUUCCCCAACCACACCCCGAGCUCCUGCCCUCCGCACCUGCCAUUCGCCGGUAGUAUUGAGUGUGGCCGCCCCCAUUCAGGGCGUUGCGUGGCACUUGUAGCGAGGAGCCAGUCCCGUGCCGGUGGGAAGACUUGCGACAGCAUUAUCACGGGCGUUACAGCGGGUGGUGGUUGGAUCCUAGUAGAGGCAUUCUACUCCUUCCCCUUUGAUCCAGUCGUGAAGGAUGUCAGGCCCUAAAAAAAGAUACCAGGGUAACAGCAAGGGCAAAAGUAAAGGCAUUCUUCUCCAACAGAACUCCAACAAAUGCCAACAGGAGAGUAACCCUUCUGCCACCAAGCCCCUGUGCAGCCGCCCUGAGCUGGGAGUCCUGCAAGCCGUAUUCAGACUCCUCGUCAUCCUAUUCAAAGGAUCGUGUGCCUUGGUGAUCCUGGCUAUCCUCCUAAACCUGCUGCUGGUGAUAAUUAACAAGACGGUGAUGAGUGGCGGAAUCAGCCACUAUAUCCCCGCCAACUACUGGAAGGGCAUCCUCGGAUGGUGAUUCCACGCCUUCCUUCCACCCACCCACCCUGCUUCAGCUCCUGUGCCGUGCUUUGUCGUGGCCUUGCAUGUCGCAAGAGAUGUCCACAAUAGUAGAGUCUGCAAAUACUAGUGAUAUAAUAAUGAUAUUUAGUGAAACUUGACAGUAGAUAUGAAAACCGACUUUUUUCAUUCGGACCCGAGAAUACUUUAAACACUAAACGAAGCGGUCUUCAUAUCGGAGCCACAAAUGAAUGCAGGCGAAGUGGUGAUGCUUGACAGCAGGACCAAAUGCAAUGUUCUGAAGGAGGACAAGGAAAUAUAAGCUUGAAUUGCUGUUUCUUGUAAGACUAUUACUUUGAUGAGAGCGCCGCGCUGCCUGGUCCGGCUGGUGAUGUGGCUGGGCGCGGUGGUGAUCGUCGCAGUGCCGUGCACGCUGCUGCUACUGCUAGGCACCCGAGAGGAUAACGCGAGUAAAUUACGUUAUUUUUGCCUAUUGCGGGAUCCCAACGCCCCUGUGAUUUUGGUGGCUGAUGACGCUGAUGAUGGCACGCGGCAACAGCAGCGGCAGAAUUUCAUCGGCCAAGGUCAUGUGGGCCGCAAUUAUUCUUUGUGGACCACGCACCAAGGACUGCAACAGACGGGCAGCUCCUUGGCGAGGUUAUUUCUGGUAUACGCCCUUCCUCACGGCGGCGGCGGCCUUGUCUCCGAGGCCAUCUUCAAUGUGCACCCGAAAGAUGUUUUCUUCUUGUACGAACCACUGCACAAUUUGCCGCCCAUCACCUCGCAGACCCACAUGCAGAGGCCUGUAGAGUGGUUGCAGCUUAUGCUGAAUUGUUCCUUGGGUGUAGCAGGGCACCUGCACCUGCCUCACCUGUGGAAGUCAAGCUCAUUCCGCUUCACACAUACCAGCCACUGUCACCCCCACCAGGUGGAUAUGGCCAAGUGUGUGACAAUAGCCUGCAAGAGAACCAAGUUCCGGGCAGUCUUCACCACCCAGCUCACCAUGGCUGAGAUCACAGAGUUACUCACAGCAUACCAACACCUGCUCAAGGUGGUGAUGGUGGUGAGGGACCCUCGGGCACUGCUGGCUACACACUUCCGCUCCCAUCCCCGCCCCUUACUAUGGCACCUGCAAAUGCAGGCUGAGAGGAUAUGCAUCACCAUGGCUGCCAAGAUCAGUUCUGCACGCUCCUUGCAGCACCGUUUCCCAGGUGCUGUGUUGGUGCUUCACCAUGAGCAUCUGGUGUCUUAUCCUGUUGAUGUACUGGAUGCUGUGAACCAGUUCCUGGGCUUUGGGGUGAGCCACCACCAACUUGCUGCCACACUUGCCAUCCUUGGCCUUGAUGCCCCAGAGCAGGAGCGACUCCAGCUGAUCAAUAUGUGGCAACUAGACUUCACACUUCAAGAAGUGAGACAGGUGGACAAAAGCUGCAGCAAGUAUUACCGUGGCCUUGAGUACUUGCCUGUCCCAUACACCAUCACUACCAGAAACAACUUUUUUGUUCCCUGGCUGGAUGCCAAACUCUGAACUUUUACUUUGCACACAGAUGACAGAACAGGUGUUAAGAUUACUUGUGAUCUCCAGAGCUCUGUACUAGUGUGGCCUUAUAUAAGCAUUAGACAAGAUUGCAGCACUGAAGAUAUUGCAACAGAAAAUAUACUAGCAACAAAAGCAGCAGCCAAUAUAAUAGGAAAUAGGGAAUAUGGUAGCAGUAGUCUUCGUCCAACCUGACUGUAGAGUGGGUGAGCUGGCCAUCUUCCUAACAGAGGGAAAACAAAUUGAGACAAGAAAUACUAUAAAACUGAAGAUAUUUGGUUUGCACUUCCAGACCACAAAGUUAGACUUGGAAAGAUGGCUUUAACAUCUAUGUAAAACCCUACUGAUUUUUAAGAUAUUGUGAAAAUGUAAAUUGAGUAGUAUUAAUAAAAUGAAGAUUAUGGUAAUGGGAUAUAAAAUGGUAAAAAUGAUAAAAUUCAUUGUUGGUUGAUGGGAAGUACAUACAUGGAAUGAAAAUGACAAUAGUUUAGUGAAUCCCAAAGAUAACGCUUUCAAUACAAAAUAAACUGUUCAUACAGGGAAUCGAACUUAAAUCAAGAAGCUGAACACUUUUGGCCAGAGUUGGAGCCAUUUUAAUAUCGGACUCCAUUACUUGGGUGCAAUGCUUGGCCAGUUUUACUCUUUAAUAGGGAAAUUCUCACAAACUUUAGGAAGAAAUUAACCUCUGUGAGUACUCUUGUGAGAGAUGAUUUCAAGGAAUACUGAUUCAACAUUAUUUUUGUUAGAAUAUAUAAUUUCAUGAGAUUUUCACAUGAUUUAAUAUGUAGAUUAUUGAGAAAAAUUACUAGACUGCAGGAAAGGGAAAGGGAGCAGAGAGAGUUGGAGUCUAAACCUUAAACUUUUUUUGUGAGUCAGAUGGAUUUUUAAAUCUGUCUCCACACCCCUAGGUAUACCCAAAGAAAACAGCAAAAUAUAAUAAAUUAACAGAUAAUUAUUUUACUUUUAACUGAACAUGAGUAUAAGAAAUUAAAUUAAAAAUUAAAAAUACUUGUAACUUGUCAAGUGUUUAAAAUCAUGUUGGAAAUGUCAUAUGGUAACACUAUAUUAAGCUACUAAAAUAAAUCCAAAAUGCACAUGGAUAGUAUUCAAAAAGCAAAUAGGAAGAAAACCCAAAUUGAACCCAACAUUUAAAAGUAUCCAACCUUAAGAGUGAAAAAAGGCUUACUUUUUUUGAGUUCCUACUCAUCAUUUUCAAGCCAGCUUCUGACUCCACAUAAUUAGCCCAGUUGUCCUCCCGUUGCUAGAAAAAUUUCACAAGUCCUGUUCUGUAAUGGCUAUCAGCUAUGCCAUCAUGUUCAUGAACUCAUCAAAUGAGGAUCCUUUCAGCAACAUCUUCAGUUUUGAAAGCAGUCAGAAAUCACAAAGAGCCAGGUCUGGAGGGCAAAGAGCUUGAUAAAUCUGAGAAAUUUAAUGCUUGGUGAAGACAUUUUGGAUCAGGUGCACAGAAUGGGCUAGGGUCUCAUCAUGAUGUAGCUGCUGGCUGUCCUCCCACAGGUUCUGUCUCUUGCACUGAACUGUGUUUAAAAGACCACAAAGAAUCUCUUGAUGUUACUAUAGUUUGCUAAUAGUCCAGUCACUUGGUGUAGAUUCAUGAUGCAAAAAUAGCAGAAGUAAAAAAACAUUCAGUAUCAAUUUGAUUUUGCUCAUCGGUUUUGCUUUCUUUGGUCCUGGGGACACUGCAGAUUUUGAUUGUGAUCUCAAGGUAAGAACCCCAUAUUCAAGACUCAUAACCAGUGAUCACAGUCAGUCCUACAUAUCUCCUCAUUCCCUAUUUGAUUUAUACAUAGGUAUUACUCUAUAUGCUUGUCAGACACUUUGAUAAAUUCAAUCUCUGCCUGGACACAAACCUGCAGAUUCCCAGCUAGGUAAAGGUAACUAAUAGAGAACAGAUUUGUUAAACCUAAUAAUGCAUACAGAGGCAGUUACAUAUCAUAGCAAGUAUGCUUCACUCUUGUCUUUCUUGUAGGAUAUUCUCCACAAAGGAUUACUAUACCAGUAAUGUCACCAAGGAGUAAAAAGCUAUACUUAUACUAUCCCCAAACCCAAAAGCCAUGAAUAUAAAGGCACCAGGUGAAGAGAAAGAUGGCAACUAUCAGGAUUUUGAUCUACAAGUUGGAAAAUUCCUCAGAUCUACAGGAUGGGUUAACUUUGAUUAAUUUGUUGUAAUACCCAGGAAGACCUCUUAAUGUUAGAUGUGAGAGAGACAACUAUCAACUCAAUAACAUUUAUUUUGCUUGUCACCCUUGGGAGAACGGUUAGUACUGUAUAACUAUUUCUCCAAUGAUACACAUUCAAAGAGAACCAUAGGACAGGACUGGAAUUAUGUUUUAGAAGAAAAGUGCACAAAACUAUAAAACUGAAAUUUGACCAAAGAUUGCAGUGGUCUUCAAGAAAUUUUCUUGCAAAACUCUGUUGAUCAAUAUCUCUAAUUCUAUUUUGAAAAUGGAGAUGCAGCCUUGCAAGAGAUUAUCAUAUUAGCAUAAUUAAUGUUUCCAUGUACUUGAUGAUUACUGCAAAUAACUGUAAGAGCACUAAGUUCAAUACAUGUAUUCUACAUAAUUCUGAUGUUAGUAUAAAUUUUCUACCAAUAAAUUUAUUAUGAAUAUAUAAUGGUAACUUGCUACUCUUUUCCUUCUUUCCUAAUUAAAGCUUUCAAUGCUUUGGAGCAAUUGGAGUAUUUAGUUCAAUUCCUUAAAGUACACCUUCUAAUGAAGUGAUCCCGUCUGUUCAUCUGUCUUGUUCUCCAAAGCAAAACUUUGGAGAUAACAAAAAAUGUGAUAAAACAUGAAAUUAGGAAAUUAUUGUAUAUAAAAAGAUAUCUUAUAGACCUAACACCUAAAUUUCCUUCUUCAUUUCAAACAUAUAAAAUCACACGUCACGAAGCACAGCUAAAAUUACUGUACACUCAAGCCGGACAAGAGAAGUGAGAUGUCUUGUUUCCCUGCCAAGCCAAUCUCUUAUCCAAAAUUAACUCAGUCGCCUUCAUAGACUCAAGUUACUCAUUAGAAGGAAGAGUCACAUAGUGUUGAUAACAAAGUAUUAUCUUAGAAAAGAAAUAUUUUGUUAUAUGCAUGAGAGAUUUAAGAAUUCAAACAAAUGAUAAAUAGUAGCUGAAGAUGAAAUUAUACAAUAAAAUUAAAAGGAAUAUUUUAAAGAGCCUCAAUGUCUGUGAAUGAUGCUGCACUAGUGCAGAAAAGUGAUUUAUAUUAUGAAAAUAGCAAACACAUAUUGGAGCAUUCCUGUGUACCAUGAAACCCAAAAAACUGAAGCAAGCAAAAGAAGCAAAAAAUCAGUGAAGAUAUACAUGUGUAAAUAUCAGAUACUGAGGGAAAGAUUCACAUAAAGCAGAAUAUGCUGCAUAUCAAUCAAACUCCACUAAAAAUAAGGAAAUUGCAAAUGGCCACAAUCACCACAAAAGUGUAAAGAAGAAAAAAGAUGCUAAAAAUCAAUACAAAAAGGAAAAGUAACAAAAGUAAGAAGCAAAAAAUACUGUACCUUCUUUCUUUCAUUCUUUACACCAGUAACUCAGGAAUAUCCUGUCUUAACUGUUUUACCAUCUUUUCAAGAACUACAUCUCAAGAAAGGACAACCAACACACCUCUACAGCUACAUGACUUUGCCUCUUUGGGAGUUCUGCUAACUACUUCCUAAGGAAUGGUAACCAAGUGAGCUUUAACCAUAAAUUUGUUUAUAGCCCCUGGCCAGUCUCUUUCCUAUGUGUCAGCAAAUAAAUAAAUUAAUAAAUAACUGUAAAAAAUAAGGAAAUAAAUCUAAAUGUACAAUAACACCCAGCCAACUGUGAGGGUUAUGAUCUUGAAAAAGCAUGACAAUAAGGCAAAUCCACUGUUGAUGUUAACUUUCUUUAAGUAAAUUUCAGUUAAGAGAGUCCUGGCCAAUGAGAGAGAGAGAGAGAGAGAGAGAGAGAGAGAGAGAGAGAGAGAGAGAGAGAGAGAGAGAGAGAGAGAGAGAGAGAGAGAGAGAGAGAGAGAGAGAGAGAGAGAGAGAGAGAGAGAGA